AACGAACGCUGGCGGCAUGCCUAACACAUGCAAGUCGAAUGAACCCUUCGGGGUUAGUGGCGCACGGGUGCGUAACGCGUGGGAAUCUGCCCUUUGCUUCGGAAUAACUCAGGGAAACUUGUGCUAAUACCGGAUGAUGUCUUCGGACCAAAGAUUUAUCGGCAAGGGAUGAGCCCGCGUAGGAUUAGGUAGUUGGUGGGGUAAAGGCCUACCAAGCCGACGAUCCUUAGCUGGUCUGAGAGGAUGAUCAGCCACACUGGGACUGAGACACGGCCCAGACUCCUACGGGAGGCAGCAGUGGGGAAUAUUGGACAAUGGGCGCAAGCCUGAUCCAGCAAUGCCGCGUGAGUGAUGAAGGCCCUCGGGUCGUAAAGCUCUUUUACCAGGGAUGAUAAUGACAGUACCUGGAGAAUAAGCUCCGGCUAACUCCGUG
rnacentral:rRNA from 1 species